rnacentral:misc_RNA from 1 species
GAACGCACAUUGCGCCCCUUGGUAUUCCAUGGGGCAUGCCUGUUCGAGCGUCAUUUGUACCCUCAAGCUCAGUCUUGGUGUUGGGUGUUUGUCCUGCCCUCGCGGCGGACUCGCCUUAAAGUGAUUGGCAGCCGGAAUAAUUCUGGGGAACGCAGCACAACUGCAGCCUCUAGUCUUAUACGCCGAGCGUCCAACAAGCCUUUUAUUCUUGCGUUUGACCUCGGAUCAGGUAGGGAUACCCGCUGAACUUAAG